AUGGAUCCAACACUAGAAUUCCUGUGUGACUCUUCUCUUGACACAAUUGAAAAAGCAACUUUGACAGUAGGUAAUGGCUCUCUGGUUAACAGAUUAGUUCUUACAGGCUGAUAGACAUCAUCUAAGCCCAUAAGAAACUGCAUUAGUUUGAUUAAGGUAGAAAAAUCAUUGAAAUCUUUAGCAGCUUGACAUGAACAAGUAGGCAGUUGAAGCACAGCAUCAAACUGCUUCCACAUUGUAUUCAACUUAUGAUAAUAUUCAGAAACAGAACUCCCAUUUUGAGUAAUACAAUUAAUUUUUUUAUAUAAGUCAUACACUAUAGAGCCAUCAACCUUGUCAUAAGUUUCUUUUAGAUCAAUCCAGACUUCUGAGGCUAACUUAGAGAACACUUGCCCUAAGUAUAGUUCCUCAGAAACAGAGUUUAACAACCAACUUAAAACAACUGAAUUACACCUGUCCCACUGGCUACUUAGAACUUCAUCAUCAGUAUUCUUUUUACAUUUACCAUCUAUAAAUCCAAAUUUAUUUUUGGCUUCAAGAGCCAAUUUCAUAGCACUAGACCACACCCUAUAAUUUUUAGUUCCCUUUAGUUUUAUACCAACUAUAGUUAAGGAGCUAGAAUCACUAGGAUGCAA
rnacentral:lncRNA from 1 species